rnacentral:rRNA from 1 species
AUGGUGAGGGGCAAGAUUGUGAUUAGGAGGAUUGAGAACAUGAGAAGCAGGCAAGUCACCUUCUCCAAGCGGCGUCGUGGCCUGCUGAAGAAAGCACGUGAGCUGGCCAUCCUCUGCGAUGUCCAGGUCGGUGUCAUCAUCUUCUCCUCCACUGGUCGCCUCUACGAGUAUGCCAACUCCACCGCCACCACCACCAUGGACAUGCAGUUUGCAUGA